rnacentral:rRNA from 1 species
ACGCAUCACUGGUGUUCGGGUUGUCAUGCCAAUGGCACUGCCCGGUAGCUAAAUGCGGAAGAGAUAAGUGCUGAAAGCAUCUAAGCACGAAACUUGCCCCGAGAUGAGUUCUCCCUGAGACUUUAAGUCUCCUGAAGGAACGUUGAAGACGACGACGUUGAUAGGUCGGGUGUGUAAGCGCAGCGAUGCGUUGAGCUAACCGAUACUAAUGAACCGUGAGGCUUAACCUUAC